rnacentral:rRNA from 1 species
GAACGCUGGCGGCGUGCCUAACACAUGCAAGUCGAACGGAGAUUAGACGCUGACGAGACUUCGGUCAAAUCUUGUUAAUCUUAGUGGCGGACGGGUGAGUAACGCGUGGGCAACCUGCCUCAUACUGGGGGAUAGCAGUUGGAAACGACUGAUAAUACCGCAUAAGCGCACGAGAUCGCAUGAUCUAGUGUGAAAAAACUCCGGUGGUAUGAGAUGGGCCCGCGUCAGAUUAGCUAGUUGGUAAGGUAACGGCUUACCAAGGCGACGAUCUGUAGCCGGACUGAGAGGUCGGACGGCCACAUUGGGACUGAGACACGGCCCAAACUCCUACGGGAGGCAGCAGUGGGGGAUAUUGCACAAUGGAGGAAACUCUGAUGCAGCGACGCCGCGUGAGUGAAGAAGUAUUUCGGUAUGUAAAGCUCUAUCAGCAGGGAAGAAAGGCUCGUAAGAGAGAUGACGGUACCUGACUAAGAAGCCCCGGCUAACUACGUGCCAGCAGCUGC